AACGAACGUUAGCGGCGCGCUUAACACAUGCAAGUCGCACGAGAAAGGGCUUCGGCCCCGGUACAGUGGCGCACGGGUGAGUAACACGUGGGUAAUCUUCCCUCGGGCGGGGGAUAACAUUCCGAAAGGAGUGCUAAUACCGCAUAAGACCACGGCUUCGAAAGAAGCUGAGGUCAAAUCCGGCCUCUCUUCCUAAGCUGCCACCUGAGGAUGAGCCCGCGGCCCAUCAGCUAGGUGGUAGGGUAAUGGCCUACCAAGGCAAACACGGGUAGCUGGUCUGAGAGGAUGAUCAGCCACACUGGAACUGAGACACGGUCCAGACUCCUACGGGAGGCAGCAGUGGGGAAUCUUGCGCAAUGGGCGAAAGCCUGACGCAGCGACGCCGCGUGAGUGAUGAAGGCCUUCGGGUUGUAAAGCUCUGUGGGGAGAGACGAAUAAGUCGGAGCUAAUACCUCCGGCGAUGACGGUAUCUCCUUAGCAAGCACCGGCUAACUCUGUGCCAGCCGCCGCGGUAACAC
rnacentral:rRNA from 1 species